rnacentral:rRNA from 1 species
AGAGUUUGAUCCUGGCUCAGGAUGAACGCGGCGGCGUGCCUAACACAUGCAAGUCGAGCGAUUCUCUUCGGAGAAGAGCGGCGGACGGGUGAGUAACGCGGGGUAACCUGCCCUGUACACACGGAUAACAUACCGAAAGGUAUGCUAAUACGAGAUAAUAUGCUUUUAUCGCAUGGUAGAAGUAUCAAAGCUCCGGCGGUACAGGAUGGACCCGCGUCUGAUUAGCUAGUUGGUGAGGUAACGGCUCACCAAGGCGACGAUCAGUAGCCGACCUGAGAGGGUGAUCGGCCACAUUGGAACUGAGACACGGUCCAAACUCCUACGGGAGGCAGCAGUGGGGAAUAUUGCACAAUGGGCGAAAGCCUGAUGCAGCAACGCCGCGUGAGCGAUGAAGGCCUCUGGGUCGUAAAGCUCUGUCCUCAAGGAAGAUAAUGACAGUACAUGAGAGGAGAGCCCCGGCUAACUACGUGCCAGCAGCCGCGGU